rnacentral:tRNA from 1 species
UGUCAGGGGUGGGAUUCGAACCCACGCCCACAGAGUGGACUGCGACCUGAACGCAGCGCCUUAGACCGCUCGGCCACCCUGAC